rnacentral:piRNA from 1 species
UGUGAGGCCAUGUUGAAUAAUUUUAGUAGU